UUUAGACAGUAACAUCAACGCACCUCGACCAAAGUUCUUAAGGUUAAAUCUUGAACCCUCAUCUGAUUUACUGUUACUAUAAGAUUUAAAGUAUCACAUGUAUAUAUACUCUUCCCAGUAGCCAACUCAUUCAUGGAUAAACAUGUUUUAUAUACGUUGUGCAAAUCAAGAGGCAAGAAACUGAAAGAAAUGAUCUUUAUAUAUGUAUGCAUAAUGCACCGAAUCGGCUAUUACAGAAACACAUAUUUGUAUAUUUAGAUCGCAAAUCAUAAAGUUUAUGUUUUUAAACAAGACAUUGAAAUAUUUCAAGAACAUUGCAUUCACGAAAACAUAAGUAGAAAAAGGGAAACUUGGUUUAAAGCUUUGAUUUUUGCUUGCCGUGUUGAGCCGGUUGAUGCCGGUGCGUCUGAGUCGGGUCUGUGGGGUGUUGUCGCUGCUGAGUCGAGUCGGGGAAGAGGGCUGGCAGAGACGGCGGCGUAGAGACGCUUCUGUCCGGCCGAGCUUGAGCAGAAAGGAGAUGGAGUCGAGAGAUGGACGGAGGUCAGGGCACGGUGGCGGCUUCGCUGCUGCUGUCCGGCCAAGGGCGAAGGAUGAGAGAAGGGGGGAGGCGGUGGUUGCUACUGCCAGCGGCGGCUCCGCCAUGGCCAGAAAUCGAGGGAGAGAGAGAUUUGAGAGAGCAGAGCGUCUGUGUUUGUGUGUAGCCGAGAGAGAGAGAGAGGGAGCGAAUUGGGGGAAGAAGAAGAAAGGUUUUGGGCUUGGCUGAUGGGCUGAUUUUAACUUCUGUUGGGCCGUUUUUAUUUUAAAAAAAUAUUGGGCUCAGAAUUUUUACAAUUGUGCUGCAACUAUUUAUUUGAGUCAUGGGUUGAGUAUUUAAAUGUUGGGCCUCAUCUUUUAAAUAACUUAGGCUGUGAAUUUUUAAGAACUUGGGCCUUGAAUUUAAUUAUUUUGUGCAGUUCAUAUUUUUAAUUAAUUUAACUACCAUUAGUUUGAUUAAUUAUUUUUAAAAGAUAAAUUGCACAAUAAUAUUAUAUUAUUAUUAUGUGCAUAUGUUAAGUAAAUUACUUAUCAUAUGUUUCAACUUUCAAGCAUGACAUGAAAUUGCAUUUGCAUUAUGCAAUAAAAAGAAUUAUGAUUUUAAUUGGUUUCAUAAAUCCAAUUAUCAAAGAAGAUCGAGUAAGGAUAUUGUUGGUGUCCUUGACUCAAGAAUUUAGUUUUCAAUUAUUUAUUCAUUAAUUUUUUUAAAACCCGGCGUGAUGAAUCAUAAAAUGUUAAAGCACUUUACCAUGACUUGAGCUUAGAUUUAAGAGACCUAUUAAGAAUAGAAUUCUUGUAGGCUUUGAGGAUCAAGAGGAUUAGCACUGCUAUUCCGAUUCAGAGUUAAGUUUAAACGACAGGCUUUGCCUAUUCAGGUUGGCUGGCCGGUGCUGACGGGACGAAGCUGAGGCUAGAGUUAAAUUCCUAUGUUAGACUUCCGCUGUAGCAAUUACUCAUAUCAGUCUUUUGUUUUCCCAACUUAAGAUCUUCAUGUUAAAUUUCAAAUGAUAUACCUGACCGAGCUUAGACUCUUCACUACUAAAUUUAUGCUAAUGAAUGUCGGUUCUCAGAAGCAUGAAACAAAACUUGUGAUCCAAAGGGGCAUAGCCCGACUUAAUAUUUUAUUACUCGGC